rnacentral:misc_RNA from 1 species
GCAGAAGGAUCAUUAGUGAAGAUUUGGGCAGGCCAUACGGACGCCACAAAGUGUCCCUGGCCGCCUACACCCACUAUACAUCCACAAACCCGUGUGCACUGUCCUUAGAAAGGGCAUUUGGAGAGAAAAAGAAAGAGAAGCGAGAGCAGUGCGAUCCGUCGCGUUGAGCGUUUUCUCUGACUUGGUCUCUCUGAGGCCCUUUCCUUGCUACAAACUCGAAUGGUUAGUAUGAACGUGGAACUUGGUUGGACCGUCACUGGCCAACAAACUAUACACAACUUUCGACAACGGAUCUCUUGGUUCUCCCA